rnacentral:rRNA from 1 species
UAAGCGGAGGAAAAGAAACUAACAAGGAUUCCCCUAGUAACUGCGAGUGAAGCGGGAAAAGCUCAAAUUUGAAAUCUGGCAGUCUUUGGCUGUCCGAGUUGUAAUCUAGAGAAGUGUUACCCGUGCUGGACCGUGUACAAGUCUCCUGGAAUGGAGCGUCAUAGAGGGUGAGAAUCCCGUCUCUGACACGGACUACCAGGGCUUUGUGGUAUGCUCUCAAAGAGUCGAGUUGUUUGGGAAUGCAGCUCAAAAUGGGUGGUAAAUUCCAUCUAAAGCUAAAUAUUGGCGAGAGACCGAUAGCGAACAAGUACCGUGAGGGAAAGAUGAAAAGAACUUUGGAAAGAGAGUUAAACAGUACGUGAAAUUGCUGAAAGGGAAACGCUUGAAGUCAGUCACAUUGACUAGGGAUCAGCCUUGCAUUGCAUGGUGUACUUUCUGGUUGAUGGGUCAGCAUCAAUUUUGACUGCUGGAAAAAGGCUUGGGGAAUGUGACAGCUCUGGCUGUGUUAUAGACCCUUGUCAUAUACAGCAUUUGGGAUUGAGGAACUCAGCACGCCGCAAGGCCGGGUUUCGACCACGUUCGUGCUUAGGAUGCUGGCAUAAUGGCUUUAAGCGACCCGUCUUGA